rnacentral:rRNA from 1 species
CGCGCCUUGCCAGCCCGCUACAGAAACUUAAAGGAAGUGACGGGGCCCGCACAAGCGGUGGAGUAUGUGGUUUAAUUCGAUGCAACGCGAAGAACUUACCUGGUCUUGACAUCCCGGAGACCCUUAGGAAACUAGGGGGUGCUUCCAUCUGGAAGAAUCUGGAGACAGGUGCUGCAUGGCUGUCGUCAGCUCGUGUCGUGAGAUGUUGGGUUAAGUCCCGCAACGAGCGCAACCCUUGCCUUUAGUUGCCAGCAGUUCGGCUGGGCACUCUAAAGGGACUGCCGGUGUUAAACCGGAGGAAGGUGGGGAUGACGUCAAGUCCUCAUGGCCUUUAUGACCAGGGCUACACACGUACUACAAUGGCCGAUACAAAGGGCAGCGACACUGCGAGGUGAAGCCAAUCCCGUAAAAUCGGUCUCAGUCCGGAUUGGAGUCUGCAACUCGACUGCGUGAAGUCGGAAUCGCUAGUAAUCGUGAAUCAGAAUGUCACGGUGAAUACGUUCCCGGGCCUU